UGGGGAAUUUUGGACAAUGGGCGAAAGCCUGAUCCAGCAAUGCCGCGUGUGUGAAGAAGGCCUUCGGUUGUAAAGCACUUUUGUCCGGAAAGAAAUCCUUGGCUCUAAUACAGUCGGGGGAUGACGGUACCGGAAGAAUAAGCACCGGCUAACUACGUGCCAGCAGCCGCGGUAAUACGUAGGGUGCAAGCGUUAAUCGGAAUUACUGGGCGUAAAGCGUGCGCAGGCGGUUUGCUAAGACCGAUGUGAAAUCCCCGGGCUCAACCUGGGAACUGCAUUGGUGACUGGCAGGCUAGAGUAUGGCAGAGGGGGGUAGAAUUCCACGUGUAGCAGUGAAAUGCGUAGAGAUGUGGAGGAAUACCGAUGGCGAAGGCAGCCCCCUGGGCCAAUACUGACGCUCAUGCACGAAAAGCGUGGGGGAGCAAAACAGGAUUAGAUACCCCUGGUAGUCCCACGCCCUAAACGAUGUCAACUAGUUGUUGGGGAUUCA
rnacentral:rRNA from 1 species